UCAGCAAGAUGAGUGAUCGCUCCCCGCGAAGCUUUCAGCGAAGUGGGGGGGAGGAAAGUCCGAACACCAACGCCCCGAAAGGGAGUUAAAAAAAUAGCGGCUAACGGCCGUCCAUCGUAAGAUGCGAGGUGCGAACAGAAACGCCGAAACCGAAAGGUUGAGGCGCCCGUCCCGCAAGGGAUUAGGGCGAUUCCAAUUGAAAGAUUGGGCUGAAACGGCUAAAUCCUUAUUGGGCGCAAGAACAAACCCUUGAUUAUUGUUUCAUCAGUAAAAGAGGUUAAAAGUAGUUCGCUUGACCCUGAGAGCAAUCGAAUGGGCAGACAGAUGAUCACAUAACACAAAAUUCGGCUUAUAGUCUUGCUGAGGCA
rnacentral:RNase_P_RNA from 3 species